rnacentral:misc_RNA from 1 species
AUGGGAAAGAAUUCGAAAAAGCAUAAAAAAGAACGAAGCGGCGCGCCGAGCAAAGAUCGCUGAAAAAAAUGAGGAACGCCGUCAAAAUGAGAUAACGUUUGAUAAGUGGGUCGCCAAGAAAAGUACAUUGAAAAAGUAUGGAAAAUGGCGUAAGAAGCAGGAGGCGAAGAAGCUCGAGUCGGCAGAGGAGAAACGAGCCCGGAAAAGACGCGAAACGAAAGGAUGCUGACGCAGAGGACUUCGGUUUUGAAGAAGUGGAAAACCAGGAGCCGGUCGAAGCUCCGAAUAAGCGAGCAACGAAUUCAGCGAAGGAAUUCAACUUGGGUGUAUGCCGACCAGAAGCUGGAAAUCAUCGGGAGCUCAAAGAAAAAUUAAAGAUGAUUGGAGUUGACGAUUUCGAUGAUGUCGAGUACAGAAUAAUGCCGCUUCAGAACUCCUUCUCCGCGAAAAUCGUUAACUUUUCAGUUAAGAGUGCGGAAUCGGCCGGAAAAAUCGCCACCCACAUCAAAUUGGAUGAUUGGAAGAACAUUUUCGCGCCUGCCACAAUGAUCAGUGGUUUUUUUGAGCCUGUCGUCAAGAGCUAUCUCGAGCAAGCUCUCAAGCUCGAAAUGGUGAAAAAGCGGCUGGAUUGAAGGCUCUACGGUGUAUUGCGAGCAGCGGCACCAGGAUUCUACCACCGCCGGCCCGCUCUCUCCUCUUCGA